GGAGAGGCGUUCGCGCGCUGGAGAACGCGGUCGCAGCAGACGACGCCGUCCUUCGCUGACACGCCUCGUCUCUACCAUCAUACGGACAACGCCACCGUUACAAAAGUUUGAUAACAGUGCGGCGAGGUGUGCCGCAAAUGGGGCUUUCGUCCCGGUGAUUGUCGCUGCGGUUCCGCUAUCGCUGCUGAAAGCAAAAGAGUAAGAGAGAAAGCGGCCCAGCAGGACAAGCGCGCGCGGGCAGCCAUCCAAUUCCGCGCCUGGAGAGCCCGCAAGUCGGAGUGAGUGCGUCGGCGUUGAACGGCAUGCGGAGAAGUGCGCGGCGAUCUUGCUCUUUCGCCAGAGAGCAUUCAGUCGGUCUCUCUUAAGUGACGUCGUGCUUGCUGCUCCUUCUGCUGCUGUUUUCCAUGUAGCGCAGCGCCGCAGCCACCACCGUAGCAGCAACAGUGUGAUUCUGCCGUCCGCGUGUUCUCCGUUUAUCGCGCGGGUUCGCGGAGGCAGCGCUCCGCGCGCGAGCACCAGCAAGAAGAACCAUGUGCACCGCACAAGUACGUGACGCUGGUGCCGUCGACGCCGACGACGCCAGCCGGCUGUGCGGCGUGGGCCGUUUCAGGCCGCGGGCGCUUCAGGUGUUCGCGCGUCCGCAGCUGUUCACGUUGUUGUACAGUGCCGUCAGCAUCCUGCAAAGUGCGCACUUCUACUACUUCUUCGCCAUCAUGUCGACGCUGCAGCGACGGUACGGCCUCUCCAGCUGGUCGAUCACGGUGAUCCUCUUUGCCGACAGCGCGAGCCCUUUCUUUGUGAGCUUCUUGGUGGGACACUACUCGCGCACCGUGUCCAAGCCGCUGCUCAUCUUCGGUGCCAUCGUGGCCCUCGUUGUCAGUUGCGCGGUUAGUGCUCUGCCAUUCUUCCUGUACGGGCCUGGGCUCGCCUUGGGUGUCGUCGACGCUGCCUCUCGAGACGCCCUGGACACCUGCCAGGCGGCAGACGCCGUGCAGCCGCUCCCGCAGCCCGGUUGCGAGGGCCGCGGCAUGCCGGAGUCCGUCGUCGUGACGGCCGUGCUGUUCGCGGCCAACUGCUUCUACGGCUCCGCGUACAGCGUGCUGUUCAUCUCUGGGAGCACGUACGUGGAUGACAGCGUGAAGAAGAAAAACUCUCCUUUGCAUUUCGCCACUGUUGCCAUACUGAAGCUGGCCGGACCGACGCUUGGCUACGCACUGGGCUCCCUGUGCUUGCGCUACUACGAGGACCCUCGAUUGGACCCGGUGCUAGAGCGGACCGAUCCCCGCUGGGUUGGUGCCUGGUGGAUGGGAUACGUGGUGCUGGGUGUUUGUCUGGCGGCCACCGCCCUCCCCGCGCUCUUCUUCCCCCGCUACUUGUCGCCGCCGGCUUCACCUACGGCUACUGCUACAAGAGAAGAACCCACAAAAAAGGCCAAUGGAGCGAGUAGCUUCUGGCGGUCGCUGAGGUCGUUGUUCAGGAACCCGGCCUACGUGUUCCGGCUCGUGUACUGGCUACUGGCGAGCAACGCGACCCUGGGCCACUCCAUGAUGAGCUCCAAGUACGUCGAGGUCCAAUUCAGGACGUCCGCCUCCCAGGCAAGCUUUCUCAUCGGUCCCGUACUUAUGGUAACCAACGUGCUGGGACUGGGCAUGGGCGGCUUGGCGCUGCACGCCUUCAGGCCCAGGCCUCGUCUUGUGACGCUGUACACGACGCUCUGCGACGUGGUCAAGCUGGCCUGUCUCGUAGCCUGCGCCUUCAUAGGCUGCGAAGCCAUCCGGCUUGCUGGCACCGUCAGCACCGUCUCCGGCCACGGGUCGUCGAUACAGACGGCUUGUAGCCAGAACUGCAGUUGCGUCACCAGGCACUUCCAGCCUGUAUGCGACCCUGUCAAUCAAAAGGUUUUCUUCUCGCCUUGCCACGCAGGCUGCACCAAGAUAUAUGCAGCAGAGCCAGGUGAGGUGACCCUCAACGAAUGCUCGUGCUUUCCAAGGCCACCUUUACAGCAGGAACACCAGGAAGCAGACCAUUGGACGCCGUACUUGGGAUUGUGCACCGGUGACACGUGCGGCAAUGUGCUGACGUUCAUUGCGUUGUCGUCUGUUGUCGGCUUCAUCGUCCGCACUACAACCGUGGGACACACGAUUGUCGGGCUCAGGUGUAUUUCUCGCGAGGAGAAGGCCAUGGCGCUGGGCGUCCAAGAAGGCUUGAGCAGCAUCUUUACUUAUAUUCCGUACCCGAUACUCUACGGGGCUGUCUUCGACUCUGCCUGCCUCGUGUGGGAGGACAAGUGCGGCGCGCCGGGUGUCUGCUGGCUCUACGACACGGACCGGCUGCGCUACGCCUACCACUUCUUGUCAGUCGCCAUAUUGCUCGUUGCUGUCGUCUUCGAGGUGGGCCUCGUGUACCACAGCGGCCGCAUGUCCGGCUUCUACUCGGACGCGGCUGUUCCGGCUUCGCGGCGAGAUAAAAUUCCCGCAGUGGUCGUGGACGGUUCCGAGGGUGCGGCUCUAGUCGAGUUGCAGAAGACAAAGAGUGGAACGAAAGGUGAAGAAGCGGAAGCAGGGAGUGGAGAAAAGGAGGACGAAGACCUCCUGAGUGCGGAAGACCGUCAGACAUCGUGCGGGGGCUGUAAGCAGGAAUCAAAAGAGCAAACGUCGGUGUGCUAAAUAACUAUCUCGUGCCAUAAUCAAGGAUGUAUUCGGUGAUGUCGGGACGCGCACACAUUUGCCAGUGAAUGGGACCAGUGGAGCUCUACUCGGACGAACUGCCCAGGCCAACGGUGGCAGCGAGCAUUGGCCUUGUGUGUUGUGUGCAGCGUGCGGC
rnacentral:misc_RNA from 1 species